UACACUCCUGCGGGAGGCAGCAGUGGGGAAUAUUGCACAAUGGGCGCAAGCCUGAUGCAGCCAUGCCGCGUGUGUGAAGAAGGCCUUCGGGUUGUAAAGCACUUUCAGCGGGGAGGAAGGCGAUACGGUUAAUAACCGUGUUGAUUGACGUUACCCGCAGAAGAAGCACCGGCUAACUCCGUGCCAGCAGCCGCGGUAAUACGGAGGGUGCAAGCGUUAAUCGGAAUUACUGGGCGUAAAGCGCACGCAGGCGGUCUGUCAAGUCGGAUGUGAAAUCCCCGGGCUCAACCUGGGAACUGCAUUCGAAACUGGCAGGCUUGAGUCUUGUAGAGGGGGGUAGAAUUCCAGGUGUAGCGGUGAAAUGCGUAGAGAUCUUGAGGAAUACCGGUGGCGAAGGCGGCCCCCUGGACAAAGACUGACGCUCAGGUGCGAAAGCGUGGGGAGCAAACAGGAUUAGAUACCCGUGUAGUCCCAUGA
rnacentral:rRNA from 1 species